rnacentral:lncRNA from 1 species
UGGCAGUGUGUUUUGAUUAGCAGCAGGUGGCUCCAUGGUGGCCAGUGCAGCAGCGAGCUAGCGUGUUGCUGUGGGAAGAGGCAGAAAAAUUAAUCUGUUUGUGGUUGGACGAUGGAUUCCCGUUCCCUGGUAGGCAGCUAGCUCUUGAAAUAAUUUCAGCAAGAACAACAUCCUCAAUUUGGAGUGGUCUUAUUCGCUACUGCAUAUCUUGGACAUUUUCAAAUGUAGAUCAGAUUAACUAUAUAGUAGACACUGUGCUGUUGGUGUUUAACUGCUCGUGAGAUACGCGUCAAUAUUGCAAUCAACUCUGACUGCAAUUGUAUAGUCUCAAGGGCCUGCAUUCUAUAUUGAAGGUUCAACAUUGAAGCUGCUUGCAUUGAUCCGCAAUAGACCUUGACUUCAGCAAAAAAUGAGGUAUAUUGAGCUUAAUGACACAUGGUUACAUACAGAUAGAAGAACCGCUUGUACUAUAUAUGUUUUUGUCCUGAAGUACCGUUUCUACUUCUGAUUCAUGUAAUGAAUAUUCAGUGUAUAUAGUUCAUUCUCUACACCUUUUUUGAAGAAAACACCUAUUUCUCUGUGUUUAUAUUUAAAACCUAUGUUUUUAUUUUAAAGAACACAUAUGAAUUUUUGUUGGACAUGAAAUGAGCUACCAUAACUACUAUAAUCUAUGCAUAUGGUUUCCGUAGAUUUUUUUGGUGAAGAGUUGGAAUACCAAAACACAAGAAUGCACUAGAUGUCCUUGAUUAUAGUUAUACUUUGUGUAGGUUUCUAUAUGUUGAAUUUCACAUGGAGCAACUUGGUCCGCGAGUUCUGUACACACUAUUUUCAUCAGCUUGUGUGGUAGCAACAAUAUUUGUGCCACGACAUGUAGUCGAAACAUAGGGAAAAACUUUGUGGAGAGAGAAGUUUCACUGUUGAAAACACAAUAAAGGCACCCUCUACUCUUUCCUCUGACAUAAACCAUUUCAGAUCAUCUUUGUCUACCAGUCAGCAUCUAUAAAUAGCACUGGUGAUAUUAUAAGUUGGCAGUAUUAUAUAUAUUCUUAGUUGAGAACUUGGUAGUUAGGGCAUGUGGAUUACAAGUACCACACCGAGAAUACUUACAUGCUCUUGUCAUUGCAGGUUUCAUGGUGGCAGUGCCUUCUUCUACAUGAUGGGAAUUCAACGGCAUUUUUUUUUGUUAAAUACUAGCUGGGUGUGUCGUCUAUUCACAGAUCGUGUAAUUUGACCAUCUCUUGCAGACAAAACACUCGGGGAAAGUUCCCAGCCGUGCACCUGUGACCGCUGGAGAGGCAUACUGUUUUAGGAAUUCAUGACAGACUGGUAGUGAGGUUUGUGUCUAUAGGAUGGAAUUACUUGAUAUGUCAAAAUGGUGGUCUUUAUUAUGCAAUUUAAGUGAUCUUUUGUUGAACCCCUCCUUUCCAGAAAACUACUCAUAAUGUUUUGGGAUUAUUUGAUUUUAGUAAGGUGACUUAUACACCUAGACGGCGGGAGUAUUAAUUAAUCUUUCAAGUUUGAUCUUCUGUCUGCAUAGUUUUAAUGAUAUUGAAUGCAUCAGUUCAAAGCAUUUUGUGGUGAAAAUCUAGGUCAACAACCAUAUACUAAAUGAACAUGCUACUGACUGCAUUUCCUGUUAACAGAAUUUAUUGUUUGAUAUUUGGGAUCCUCAGUUUCUAACAAUAAUUCAACCUGUGGCAACACACCCGCAUAUGCACCUUAUAGAGAUGAAGGCAACCUUAUUUGGUUGUCAGACUUGAAUAUAAGUCGAGCGUAGUGGCACGUGAAGCUGGUUUAGUCGAUUUUUAAGCCCGUUGCAACGCACGGAUGUUUUUCGGAUUAAAUGGAAGUGCGGAUUAAAUGGAAGUGCGGAGCUAAAAUAGGUAAUGAUGAACAUUGUUAGGGUCCCUCAAAUUUCAUCUUACAAAAAGAAAUACUCAGUUUAACCUUAUUUCUGACGUUUACAAAAAUUGGUUUAUAAAAAUAUUGCAUAAUGGCACAUGGAGCAUGUUAUAUUUUAUUUUUCGCCCAGUGCAACGCACGGGCAUUCUGAGAGAGUGAAGCAUAUUUGCUUGAGAUUUGAAUUAUUUUUUUAUGUCAGGUUUGUACGCUAUAUUGUUUGAUUAAUGAAAACUGAUAAGAGUAGUAGCAAACACUUGAUUGAGUAAGCUACUGGAUUUUACGAGUAAUACACAGUAGUUUCUUGCAAUAUUAUCUGCAUGACAAGAAACACCCAUAUUUGAUUUUGCUCUGUGAUUGGUUCAAAUAUCACUUUUUGGGCUAAAGCUGAUUGGAUACGAGUAGUAGUGUCAACAGUAAUAACUUGAAACAUGAUUUUAUCAUGGCUCUAAAUUUUAUUGCUGAUGAUUUCUUUCAG